rnacentral:rRNA from 1 species
GACGAACGCUGGCGGCGCGCCUAACACAUGCAAGUCGAACGGAGCUGAGAGAAGCUUGCUUUUCUUAGCUUAGUGGCGAACGGGUGAGUAACGCGUGAGUAACCUGCCCUGGAGUGGGGGACAACAGUUGGAAACGACUGCUAAUACCGCAUAAGCCCACGAUCCGGCAUCGGAUUGAGGGAAAAGGAUUUAUUCGCUUCAGGAUGGACUCGCGUCCAAUUAGCUAGUUGGUGAGGUAACGGCCCACCAAGGCGACGAUUGGUAGCCGGACUGAGGGGUUGAACGGCCACAGUGGGACUGAGACACGGCCCAGACUCCUACGGGAGGCAGCAGUGGGGGAUAUUACACAAUGGGGGAAACCCUGAUGCAGCGACGCCGCGUGGAGGAAGAAGGUUUUCGGAUUGUAAACUCCUGUCGUUAGGGACGAUAAUGACGGUACCUAACAAGAAAGCACCGGCUAACUACGUG